AACCACACUAUCAAUGAAUGGAUUCACCGCGAGAUGAUGUGACUAUUUCACCUAGGAUGAGGACAUGGCAUCCUAUUACCAGCCAUCGCACGAAAUUAAUAGGAUGCCACGUCCUCAUCCUAGAUGGAGCGACCACAUCAUCUCGCGGGUGAAUCCAUUCAUCGAUAGUGUGGUU
rfam:Oryza sativa (indica cultivar-group) chromosome 1, whole genome shotgun sequence.